rnacentral:rRNA from 1 species
CCUACGGGAGGCAGCAGUGAGGAAUAUUGGUCAAUGGACGAGAGUCUGAACCAGCCAAGUAGCGUGAAGGAUGACUGCCCUAUGGGUUGUAAACUUCUUUUAUAUGGGAAUAAAAUGUUCCACGUGUGGGAUUUUGUAUGUACCAUAUGAAUAAGGAUCGGCUAACUCCGUGCCAGCAGCCGCGGUAAUACGGAGGAUCCGAGCGUUAUCCGGAUUUAUUGGGUUUAAAGGGAGCGUAGGUGGAUUGUUAAGUCAGUUGUGAAAGUUUGCGGCUCAACCGUAAAAUUGCAGUUGAAACUGGCAGUCUUGAGUACAGUAGAGGUGGGCGGAAUUCGUGGUGUAGCGGUGAAAUGCUUAGAUAUCACGAAGAACUCCGGUUGCGAAGGCAGUUCACUGGACUGCAACUGACACUGAGGCUCGAAAGUGUGGGUAUCAAACAGGAUUAGAUACCCGUGUAGUC